rnacentral:lncRNA from 1 species
UGGGAAAUCUAUUUACCUUUGCGUACUAUUACAAAUGUUUGUGAGGGUCCUUUGUGCUACUACUAUAAUUUCAUUCAUGAAUUCUGCACAUAGAUUUUUCAUCCUGCUAUAAAAUUGCUUGUGCCCGAAUCUGUUUUCCGUUGCUAGUCAGAAGUCAAUUAUUACUGGUGUGUUCAGGAUUCUAUUUCCGUCAUCUAAAAUAUGUGUUAAUUCUGAUACAGCGUAAAGAGCUGUGUGAGCCCUCCUGGAUGGGGCUUCGGUUGGACCUCUGAUUGAGCUCCCCAUAGACUUUGACCCAAGGUAAACACGAAUUUGCUUUUGUUGUUGCUGUAAAUGUCCCUGUCUUGUAGAGAGUAACAAAACCAUGUGUCAUGGGAGUGUGACAUGUACUGUUUGUGAAUGCCUGCGAUUGGAUUAUUGGAUAUCUGCUGAUUAUAUGUCCUUAUCCAUCAUUGUCUGGUUGUUCUUGCAAGCACUAUUAGUUAGGUUGUGUAGGUCCCAAAUUCUGCUUCUGGAUUAGUCUAUUGUUCUCGUGAGACCCUCCUUUUUCCUACAUUGUCUGCUGUUUGGAUGGGCUGCUAUCAUUAUAGUCUUUUAAUUGAUGCUACCUAUAUUGACAGUUUGUACAUGGGCCCUUCGCGGUGGGGUUUGGACCCUGUGUCUGGGUUAUUGUUAUUGAACUUUGGGCCUGAGCAUGGACUUUUUGGGCCUUCAUUUUUGUUGGUGGUUCUGAAUUUGUGUACCUACAGUUCUACAAAAUUGAUAUGACUGAAUGUUUUGUUACUUGGACAAUAACUUGCUAUUUAUGUACCUACAGUUCUAGUUUGUUGCUGCUCAAUGCUCACAUUCGUUUCUCAUCCUUGCUAUUUAUGUUGGCUGACAUAACUUGCCUGUUGCUCUUGUGCGACCAGCAUCCGCGUGACAGGGUUUGUCGGAACCGCCAUCGCUUUAGGGUGCUUCUUCGGCGCCGCCAUCAUCACCAAGCGCAGGGAGUACCUGUACCUCGGUGGCCUGACCUCUUCUGGCAUGUCGAUCCUUCGACAUGAAACUGUAUGCUAGGUUUCUUCUCUUCCUUUUGGUGCGCAUGCCAUUACUACAUGGUGACCAUGUAGGUAAAGCUUGCAAGUCGAUGGCAGUUAGAAUUGGCGACUGGAAAGAAGCGCACACCUAGGUCGAUCUAUCUGCUGGUCUCUACGAGCAUUUUUUUCUAGUGUGGUCCAGGACAAUGGCAGCAUGCAUACAUUAAUAUUUACUGGAAAUGCAUGCAUUUCUUUACACACAUGACAAACAAAGUCGUUGCUGCUGCUAGGAUAGGACAUAGCAGUAGCUUGCUGGCUAGCUAGUGUAUGUUGAAUUGCUGAUCAACUCGCCUUUAGGCUGGCUUCUAGUACACCUACGUAUAGCUACCUAGGUAGGAGUAGCUAUGUGGCGCAUGCAGUGGAUUAUUAAAAUAUUACAAUAUCUUGAUCAGCAAUGAAAAGCAUCGAGAUGCAGCUUUAUACUGGCAUGCGCACAUAUGCAUGCAGCAUGCUGUGUAUGUGCACACUUGUGUACAUCGGUAGCAACAAUAUGUAGUGAUGGUGCCAACCAUAUGGAUGAAGCUUAUAAACCAAGCAUGCAUACACAGUAGUGAUGGUUUUGCUAGUAAAAAUAUACCAACACUUACAUUGUAUACAUUGGGUGCCAACAUUUGUGAUUCGUGUCAAUAUGGUCUGACCAACUGUGCUUAACGGUGUUGUGUCCUCUUGCAGCUCAAGAACGCAGGCAACAAGAAGAGGAAGAGGAGGUCCUGAACGUUUCUCCCACACAUCGUAGAUACCACCACCGCGGCCCUGUAGGAAUUAAGCUGGCGCUGUGCCACCCUUGUGUAUCUGUUUUUGAUUGUAUGUGGAAGUUGGACGUGCAUACCUGUAUUUGCUCUUGUGAGUAUUUGACUGGAUGAUCUUUGGAUUUAAUCAGUUAAUUGACAGAUUUAUUGAUAUUUUGAUGUUCAAAUGUGUAAAUUGAAAUAUGUGAAUGAAAAAGACCAAAUGUUUUACUUGACAAAAUAAUAUUUGGGCUCUAAAAAGGUUGCGGUCCAAAUUAU